ensembl:snRNA U6 U6 spliceosomal RNA
UGCCAUAGGGAUAUUGAGCUAUUAGAGCAAACACUAAUGCUACAGAGAAGAUUAGCAUAGCCCCUGUGCAAGAAUGACAUACAAAUUCAUGAAGUGUUCCAUAAAAAC